rnacentral:sRNA from 1 species
ACUUCCGGCACGGGAAGUUUUCGGUUGCUUGACGGAGGGAGUUGUAGGUGCAAAGCUGAGGAAAGAAGGAAGUGUGAGAGAGGGGCUUGAUGUGAUAAGGGCCGGUGUUUGGGACCGGAGGGUGUUGAGGGCUGAUGAGUUCCUUGGGUUUGCUCUUUUUUCACUUGAAGACUCCAGGAAGGGCAUCACAUGUCGGAGAAAGAUGAAUUCCAGCUUGACCGUCCAGAGGCGCGGCAGUGACGCCGAGUUGGGACCCUGGGUGAUGGCUGCGAGGUCCAAGGACGCGGCGCUGUCCCAACGCGACGGAGUUUUGCCCGUGAAAGUGGAGGAAGACUCACCCGGAAGUUGGGAGCCCAGCUAUCCCGCGGCUUGGCCUGACCCCGAAACUUCUCGACUGCACUUUAGGCAGCUGCGUUACCAGGAGGUGGCUGGACCGGAAGAGGCGCUGAGCCGGCUCCGAGAACUCUGUCGUCGGUGGCUGAGGCCCGAGCUGCUCUCCAAGGAGCAGAUCCUGGAGCUGCUGGUGCUGGAGCAGUUCCUCACCAUCCUGCCCGAGGAGCUCCAAGCCUGGGUGCGAGAGCACUGCCCAGAGAGCGGGGAGGAGGCGGUGGCCGUGGUGCGGGCUCUGCAGCGAGCGCUCGAUGGAACCUCACCCCAGGGGAUGGUGACUUUCGAGGACAUGGCUGUGUCUCUAACCUGGGAGGAGUGGGAGCGCCUGGACCCAGCACGGAGGGACUUCUGCAGAGAGAGUGUGCAGAAGGAUUCCGGGAGCACAGUUCCGCCGAGUGAGUGCUGUUGCUCUGCUGGUUUAUUGCGGUGUGUGGUUUGUGAAGGGCUGGUUCACUACCAUCCCUGAGCCAUUAUGCUAUUCCCAGACUUGGGCUGAGAGUCUUCAGGUGCCUUCUGUAACGCAAGCAGGAGCCUCUGUACUGCUAGGUGCUAGAUUCAGCUUUUUACUUUGGUUCAUUUUUAAUGUUUUGUACAUACAGAAAACUAUAAAAAAAAAAGAUAAUGAGC